rnacentral:lncRNA from 13 species
CUUAGAUCCUCACCAUGGAAACCUGGUGUGUGUCCAGGUAGCAAAGCCCAUGAACGUGUGGGCUCCCUCACGCCUCCUGCCAUGCUGUGGUUUCCAGAAAUUUCUCAGUCUCUUGCUGGUCUGCACUAAGCCUCCAGCAACUCAGACGAGCGAGUGUGUGCUUCCUCCAGUCCGUGGCUCCAGCGCUCCUGCUCCGGGUACACAGACCGUGGUUAGACACUGUUGUUUCGAAGAGCCCAGGGAAGUGACUUUUGCACGGGCCUUUUGCAGAUGGCUGCUGGCGGAGCCCAUGCUCUGGGUGACUGUGAGGACAGUGGUGAACAAGGGCCAUUUGUGAGGACACACCCAGCCGGCCUCCUCUGCAGGCUCUGUUUGCAGAUGUUGAUUCACCGACAGCCUGCUGGGCUCCGGGAGGCCCCUCCUUCCCAGUAACUCCCACUCAGAGCAUUGACUAGUUUCUGCUGAAAGGCACCUGGAGUCUAAGUGGGGGUGGCUUCUGCAGACAAAUCAGCAAGACCAUGUGACAGGGACUGCAGUAUAAGUGAGCACGGGGAACACAGGAGUGGGGUACACAGGGAGGGAGAAGUUUGCUCUGCUGCAGUGGAAGUGGGGCUUGGGGUGUCAUGCAGAGGUGCAUCUAUUGGUUUAAAUUUUGAAAGAGGAAUUGGCUGAGGAACUCCCCCGCCCCAGGGAGAAAAUUAAUCUAUUCAUGAGGGGUCUACCCCAUGACCCAAACUCCUCCCCACCUCUGACGUUGGGAUCAAAUUUCAGCAUGAGAUUUGGUGGGGCAAAUAUCCAAAUUGUAGCAACAUCCAUGUGUGGAAAGCAUGUCACCAAAGACUUGGAGUCUGAAGCAGCACAGUUCUGCAGGUCGAAAGUCCAGGCAUGGCUAGUUGAUCUUUCACCUUGGGAUCUCGUGAACGUGAAAUCAAGCUGUUGGCCUGGCUGCUUUAUCAUCUGGAAGUUCUGGGCAAGUGAAGUUAUUACUGGUUUUGUUCACCUCUGUCUCAUCAGCAUCGUGGGCUGAAGGGCUGGCAUAUAUUCCCUCCCCAGCUUCAGAUGCUGAGAAGCUAUUGCUUUGCCCUCUAGGUAGGUGGAAUGGGUGUUUCUUUCCUUCUCGGUCUGUACCUCAAUCACAU